ACUGGUUGAUCCUGCCAGUAGUCAUAUGCUUGUCUCAGAGAUUAAGCCAUGCAUGUCUAAGUACAUACCUUAAAACGGUGAAACCGCGAAUGGCUCAUUAAAUCAGCUAUGGUUCCUUAGAUCGUAAACGCUACAUGGAUAACUGUAGUAAUUCUAGAGCUAAUACAUGCCUUGAAUCCCUGACCCGCAAGGGGACGGGUGCAUUUAUUAGAACAGAACCAACCGGGUGCGGCUUAUGCUGUGCCUGUUACAUUCUGUGAUGACUCUGGAUAACUUUACUGAUCGCAGUCGGCCUUGUGUGUCGGCGACGGAUCUUUCAAAUGUCUGCCCUAUCAAUUUGUUGGUAGGUGAUUUGCCUACCAUGAUGAUAACGGGUAACGGGGAAUCAGGGUUCGAUUCCGGAGAGGGAGCCUGAGAAAUGGCUACCACAUCCAAGGACGGCAGCAGGCGCGAAAAUUACCCACUCCCAGCACGGGGAGGUAGUGACGAAAAAUACGGAUACGGGACUCAAUUGAGGCUCCGUAAUUCGAAUGAGUACAAUUUAAAUCCUUUAACGAGGACCAAUUGGAGGGCAAGUCUGGUGCCAGCAGCCGCGGUAACUCCAGCUCCAAAAGCGUAUAUUAAAGUUGCUGCAGUUAAAAAGCUCGUAGUUGGAUCUGGGUAGUGCGAUCGCAUGCUGUUGCUUGUUCACGGUCUUGGUUACGAUCAGGGCAGUGGUCAGCUCGGCGUAGUGGUUGUGCAACCUUUCAGCCGUGUCUGUGUUUUAUUAAACAGGUGUCGAUGGGUUAAUGAGUAUUGUAUCUUAUUGACCUGUUGGCAUGCUUUCGGAUGCCUUUAAACGGGUGUCGGGGGCGGACGGCAUCUUUACUUUGAACAAAUUUGAGUGCUCAAAGCAGGCCUAUGCGCCUGAAAAUUCUUGCAUGGAAUAAUGAAAUAGGACUUCGGUUCUAUUUUGUUGGUUUUCGGAUCCGAAGUAAUGGUUAAGAGGGACAGACGGGGGCAUUUGUAUGGCGGUGUUAGAGGUGAAAUUCUGGGAUCG
rnacentral:rRNA from 1 species